rnacentral:lncRNA from 1 species
AGGAAGAUAUCGAUACUUCUGGCCGACGUCCUUUUUUUUAUUGGUGCGAUUGUGAUGGCCACCUCUGUAGCUCCAUGGAUGCUCAUCAUCGGAAGAAUACUCGUAGGUUUAGGCGUUGGAAUGGCUUCCAUGACCGCGCCUCUCUACAUUUCCGAAGCUUCUCCUGCUAGGAUACGGGGCGCGCUAGUUAGCACAAAUGGUUUCCUCAUUACCGGAGGGCAAUUCUUGUCUUAUCUCAUCAAUCUGGCCUUCACUCAUGUAUGCGUAAUCCAACAUAAUGUCCUUCUCCUAUAUUAGCGAUUUAAGAUAAGCGAAUAAAUUGGCCUCUUUGAAUUUUAGGUACCUGGGACAUGGCGUUGGAUGCUCGGGGUAGCUGGACUUCCUGCCCUCGUUCAAUUCAUCCUCAUGUUAUUUCUGCCAGAGUCUCCAAGGUGGCUCUACAGAAAGGUAACGGUCGAGCUCUUAACUUAUUUCACAUUUUAGUAUCUACUGGUCAUGUAUCUGAUUGUAAUAGUUGCAGGGAUGUAUACUGAGAAUUUGUCGAUGGAAAAUUCUAGUCUUUUUCUUACAAUCAUAGCUUUUGGAGGCAUAAUCGAUUUACUGAUUAAUUUUUAGUUUCUUUUAAAACUAGGAAUCUGGUUUCAUGUUGUUUAGUAGUUAAGUCACACAUCAUUUUCUUGUUUGAAUAAUGGUUUUGCUAGCUAUGCAUUCAGACAAACUGUGGAGAAUUAAAUGCUUGGGGGUUACCAUUUGAGAUCGUGUAGAGGGAUUAGUUUUCAGUUAAUUCAUAUUCUUGCAGGUCUUGGGAAGUCCCUAUUGUACAUGACAUGACCUGGUAUAAUUUUCUUGACUUCCAUUUUGUUGAGUUUUCCAAAAAUUAUAUAGACUUGGUCUUGCAAAUGUUUGUAUGUUAGACACUUAUUUCUCUACCUGGAGCAUGGACCCAAAUAUUAUUCAUUUUUUGUUGUUUGAUCCAUUGUUGAUAAUUAUGUAUCUCAGUGGUAUGUUCAUUAGGUUCGGUUGCCGAUUCUUUUAAAUAAGAUGCAUGUCGUGACUGAGUCGAGAGUUCGUCUUGGAACUUUUCUUGAUGCGAGCCAUGUUUAUAUUAUGCAAUAGAGUUUUGUCAAAUUAGCUGGACUAUGGGGAAUGACUUAAUCCAUUUUCCUACUUCUGUAUUCUAACAUAAAGUCAUGUGUCUACGACAUGGGCUGGUACAUUAUAUUGUCUCUGAUAUACAUAUAUCCUCUGUAAAACAGAACAAGAUCGAUGAAGCUAGGAGUAUUUUGGCCAAGAUAUAUCCUGCCGAUGAGGUUGAGGACGAAAUGAAUGCCCUGCAAGAAUCUGUUGAAGCUGAAAAAGCCGAUGAGAGCAUCGUGGGAGAGAGUAUGAUUGCCAAAGUGAAGGGUGCUUGGAGUAACCCGGUAGUUCGAAGAGGAUUAUAUGCUGGAAUCACGGUUCAAGUGGCUCAGCAGUUUGUGGGAAUUAACACAGUCAUGUAUUACAGUCCGACGAUAGUUCAGUUUGCUGGGUUUGCUUCGAACAAGACCGCUUUGGCUCUCUCCCUCAUAACUUCCGGCCUCAAUGUGGUUGGUUCUAUUGUGAGCAUGGCAUUUGUCGAUAGAUAUGGACGGAGAAGGUUGAUGAUCGUUUCCAUGUUUGGCAUUAUCUCUUGCUUGGUUGUGUUAUCCGUCUUAUUCUGGCAAGCGUCUCUACACGCCCCUGCCGUUAGUAAGUUGGGAUCUAACCACUUUGGUGGAAACACUACAUGUCCUGCUUAUUUUUCGGCUCCAGAUGCAGCCUCGUGGAACUGCAUGUCUUGCUUACAUGCUAAAUGUGCAUUUUGUGCCGAUGGUACAAAUGAGGUAAAAGUUUGCUUCAAUUAUUCUUUUCGAGCAAUUUGUCCCGAGUAUUUUCGUCCCUUUUUAUAAUGCAUAAGCUAAGCUUGUGUGUUGUGUUCGUUUGUUAUUUAGUAUCACCCUGGAGCAUGCCUGAUUUCUGACAAAGGAAUAAGGGGCAUGUGCCGAGGCGAGCAACGGACAUGGUUUGAGAAUGGCUGUCCAAGCAAGUUCGGAAUUUUCACCGUCCUUCUCCUUGGGCUGUACAUCAUAUCUUACGCACCUGGGAUGGGAACCGUGCCAUGGAUCGUGAAUUCAGAGAUUUACCCACUGAGGUAUCGAGGCACCGGAGGAGGGAUUGCAGCGGUCGCCAACUGGUCCUCGAAUUUAGUUGUGAGCGAGACAUUCUUGACCUUGACAGAGGUUCUUGGCUCGGCUGGCAGCUUCCUCCUUUUUGCCGGGUUUUCCUUUCUCGGGCUCGUCGCCAUUUACUUCUUGGUGCCGGAAACCAAGGGGUUACAUAUUGAGGAAGUUGAGAAGCUGUUGCAGGAGGGAUACAAGCCUAAGGCUUUCAGAAAGAGGAACUCCAAAGUUGAAGGAUCUUCUUGAAUUGUUCUCUUCAAGCAUUGGUUUGGAUUUCUUACCAUAAAUCUCUUCAUCUUUUAGUCAAUGAACAAUAAUUGGACAUUGAUCAUAUGGCAAUUUAGCAAGGAAGGUGUAAAAUUCCAUAGCUUUGGUUGAAAUCAUAGUAUUUCAAUUUUACGGUAAUUUAGCAAUUGAGAUGUAGAAUCUUGUCACCUUCAAGUACUUUUGUUGUUUUAGUUGAAAUAGUUGGUCUGUCAUAAUGCAAUUUUUUUGGAAACAAUUUUUGAUAAUAGGGUCUUCCUUGUUAGUCAUCACAAGCAUUUUGAGAUAAUGAUUUCUAUGAACCCAUGCAACAUUCGACAAUGGAAAUAUUUUAGGCCCAAUUCCCUUGAGAAGUGGUAACUAUAAUUAGGAUUCAAGCUUUGGUCUAAACUAUUGUUUAUCUCAUAAAAAAAUAGUUUUAACUCAAGUCUCAAUUCUAACCUAAAUUUUUUACUGUGUCUCAUCAAAAACGUCAAUUUUCAUUUUUCUUGUCUCAUAAAAAAGCAUACACUUUCACUCAAUACUUGAAUGUGACCUUAUUUAGUUUCUUUUCAACAAUGUCAUUAAAAAUGCGACGUGUUAUUUCGCGUAUACUUAGCAACUCACAAUUGUCGUCACAAAUAUGGUAUUGUGAUCCUAUUUAGGGUGUGCAUGGCAACGUUUCUAUUCCAAAAAAGUAUUUCAUUUCAAAAAUAUUUUUUUUCUAUUUCCUUUCAGAAAUAGUUUUUUUCUAUUUCUACUCUGGGAACAAUUUCUGAAUAAAAUAAGGUAUUUGGUAAUUAUACAAAAUUUCUAUUCUUGGAAUAGAAAAAGAAUAGAAAUACGUUUGGUAAAAAUUUAUAAAUUUUUGUAUUUAUUUGUUUUUUCUUCAUACUCACGGACCGCUGAUCGUCGCUCGUCGCUGCACGACCACCACACGAUUGCCGAACGAUCGUCGCACGACCGCCGCACGAUUACCGCACGAUUUUCAUGCAACCGCCACACGACUGCCGCACAACCGCCGACUAUUGCCACAUGAUUACCACCCACAGCCCACUGGUCGUGGGAAGGGGCAGUGGCUGGUGAGUUGUUGGUGGUGGUCUUGCGACUGCGGUCGGCAGUGACGAUCGGCAGUCGUGCGGCGGUAGGUGGCGGUCAUGCGGCGGUUGGCAACGACAAGUUGCUCGCGGACGGUGGCGGUCGUCAGUCGAUGGGUUGUGUGUGAUAGUCAAUGGGCUAUGGGUGGUGGCAACCAUCGCUGGCAGUCGCUGGCAGUCGGCUGUGACGAUGGCCGCGGGUGACAGGAGGUGUCUGGCGGUUAGCAGGCGGCUGGUGGUGGCCGCGACAAAGAAGAAGAACAAAAGAAAAAUAGAAAAGAAAAAGAAAAACUUAGUUUUAGAAAUUGUUUCCAAAAAUAAGAAGCUACUUUUUUUUUUUUUGUUUCUUGUUUCUAUUCCAAAUUUAUUCCGAGCCACUUUUCUAUUCUACGGAAUAGAAAAAUAAGUUAGCAUUAAUUUAUAUUCUCUCUUUUUUUCGGAAAAUAAAAGAACAGAAAUCGGGAGAAAUGAAAACUUACAUGCAGGCCCUUAGUUUCUUUUCAAUAAUGUCAUUAAAGAUGCGGUGUGCCAUUUCAUGUGUACUUGGCGACUCAUGGUUGGCUUCACAAAUAUGGUAUUAAUUAAUAAUGACACUUUGACACAAAAGACUUAAAAGAAAUAUCAUAAGGGAUAACUUGACAGUAAUAUUCUUUAGAUAUUCGUUCUAUUUUACAUGGCUUAAUUGAGGAAAUUAUUUUGAGAAAAAGAGAGGAUAUUACCAUAAUUGUCAAAUUCCCAUGUAUAUCAUUUGGAUAAGAGUACAUCUAAUCCAGUCCGGUACAAAUUCAAUAUUGUGGAUAUUGGAUUACUUCUGAUAUAAUAUAAAGGAAUUCAAAAUUGGAGAUUUUUUUUUUUUUUUUUGGGUUCAAAAUUUAAAUUGGAGAUGAGGAGGAAGUCGGGGGAGGUUUUGCCGGCGUGCCAGGCAUCAAAUAGAGAGAGGGAGAAACCGAAUCAUAGACUGAACACUGAAUAUAGUCAGCCUAGGCAACCGUGAACAAUUUAAUGUCCCUGCACGGCACGCUCGAUGGAUUUGGUUGGUGGGCCCCGCUUUGGAUAAUUUCCGAUUAGACUAAUGGAUAAAGCUUUCGACUUUUGAACUCUCUUUCCCUCAGAUGUUAUCUUUCAAUUGAUUCCCUUGUGUUCUUUUCCAACUUCUCUCGCCUUUUUCUCGGUUGUUGUCAUCCACCCUUUACUUGGAAAUCACAGAGUAAUUCCCUGCUCUCGCCUGUGGCCACAGCUUUUUUGCAAAAGUGUCGAGGUAGGGGUGUUCUUCAGGACCACAUCUACACGACAGAUACUCAGGAUCUUUUCUGGCCCUGAAGCCCGCUCCCCCGACCCGGUUCUAUAUAUGGACGUGUAGACUGCGUCGGUGUUGGAUUGAAUCAUCAUUCAUCCGCCAUCUUAUUCAUAGUUUGCAGGAGUCCAGAAGACCCAGAAAGCAGAGAGAGGGAGAGAAAGAGAGAGUGGGAGGAGAAAAGGAGGCUUUUCCUGGUUCUCCCUCUGGGUAUGCUCUGUUCUCGUUCUGCUUUUCCCAGUUUCUUUGUCGUGCGUUCAGGAUUUCAGCGCCAUAUUUGGGUCCAUGUCGUUUCGGAUUUGUGAUUCUCUGUUCCAGUGCCUCAUGGAGAGUUCAGUCGAUCAGAUUCGGCGGGAUCAAUGGGCUUCAUUUUUAAAGUUUUUUACCUGGCGUGUUGUUUGCUGAAACUCGAUAAAAUAGAAUAAUUGAAGUUGCCGGACGAAAAGGUGGAAGUUUUGGAGCGUAGUGUCGAAAGACUGAUUUAUGUUUUUAUCUUGCUGAAAGUUGUAAUAUAGCGUGUAGUAAAAGAGAUGAUAAAUAAAAAAUUGCGCCUUUUUCAUGUUUGGAAGCGAAAGUUUUCGAUCAUUAUCGCGUAUUGUCCAUUUCGGGUAAGUAGAUCAGUGAAUCUUUCUUUGAUUUUUCGCAGAAAAUCCUAGAUUUAAGGUUCUUUUUGAAGUGUGUGUACCAGGAAGGGAUAAGAUGGAGGGAGGUCACACCAAACCCGAUAAAACGGAGUUCACCGAAUGUUGGCGCACGACAUGGAAGACGCCAUAUAUUAUGAGGCUCGCACUGUCGGCUGGAAUCGGUGGCUUGCUGUUUGGCUAUGACACAGGUAGAUCAAGCUCUUGCCUUGAUUUUAUUUCCAUUUGCUACGAUUUACAGCUAAUUAAAGUGGAUAGAGGAAAGUUUGAGCCUGAUCGGGAUGAUUGGCAGUUCGCCAUGGCGCUAUUGUUCUAUCAAAUUCUUUUCCGAGGUCGCGAUAGCGGAAUUGUUCCAAUCACUGAGUUUUGCCAAAAAACUUGUGAAUAAAAUACUUUGUUUUUUUAUUUAAUUGUUUUCUUAGUAAGGUAUGAAACAAGUUCUUUGCUCUCUCUUAUUGUGAACCUCCAGUGAGAAGAAUGGGUAGUCUCCUGACUUUUAAAUUCUUUUAACCUUUUCUUUUACUUUUUCCUCCAUCCUAGUUCACUUAUCAACCUAGAAUCGGACCCCAUGACUUACGACAAAAUGUACAUGAGAUUCUAUAACUCAGUCUUUAGUAGUAUUGAUAAUCUUAUCGAUGCCUGUUGUACAUGCUCCCAGUCCUUAUGCUUGUUGGAGCAAGUAAUCAGUUCUUUUGCCUUUUUAAGUGUCUGCCUCUUUAUUAAUUGAGAUUUGGCAUACAAUAGAAAAGCAUCACCUGUUAAGAGGAACGAACGCUCCUCGAAUAGUACAUAAACCUGAAUACCUCAUUUUCUCUGGUUGAAGGGGUCAUUUCUGGGGCGUUGCUCUAUAUUCGGGAGGACUUCGAAGUCGUCGACAAGAAAACAUGGUUACAGGUAACUGAUUCUUCCUCAUUUCCUGUAAAUUGCUUAUGUUUCUUUGAGUACGUUAAUUCUCAAAAGUUCUUGUCUGCUCGAAGGAAACUAUCGUGAGUAUGGCUGUUGCUGGAGCUAUCGUUGGGGCUGCUGUUGGUGGGUGGAUGAACGAUAGAUUCGGGAGGAAGAUAUCGAUACUUCUGGCCGACGCCCUUUUUUUUAUUGGUGCGAUUGUGAUGGCCACCUCUGUAGCUCCAUGGAUGCUCAUCAUCGGAAGAAUACUCGUAGGUUUAGGCGUUGGAAUGGCUUCCAUGACCGCGCCUCUCUACAUUUCCGAAGCUUCUCCUGCCAGGAUACGGGGUGCGCUAGUUAGCACAAAUGGUUUCCUC